AAUAAAUGGUGAUAUUUAAUGACUUUUAUAAAUAUUCACAAGCAUUGUAUGUGAAUCAUAGACAACUAUUUGAAUAUUUAAAUCAAAUAUUGUUUUGUAUUAUUAAUUAUGGUUCAUUGAUAAGUUUUUGUUUUGUUUUGAUAUUUUUUGCAGUUUUUUAAGAUAAACAGGUAUCUCUGAGUCAAAACAAACAUUAUGAAUUAAAUUAUUUUGUUCAUUCUUCUGGUCACAACCUAACAUGAACUCUUACACAAUAGACAAGACUAGUUUAUACUAAACCAAACCAUAAGGGCACACAAACAGCUUCAACACAUCAAAUAAAUGAGUAUUAAUAGUACUCUAUUUUAUAUUAAGAUCUUUUUUUCUUUCCAACUCUUUCAUCUGAAUGUCUAUGGUGUCAGAUUCAUAAUGGGUCACAUAGUUUCCUGAUGAUAAGUCGCUGGGAUCUGCCAGGAGAUGUUCUGAUAGGGUUCAAGUAAAUACUUAACAUAUCACCCUCAUCACGUAAUGUGUGUUCAUCAAACGUGUUUGGUGCGCGUGCGUGUCUGUGUGUAUGGGUGCGUUAUUGUAAACAAAUAUUGCUGAACAUUUCUGCAGAAUAUAGAUGGUAGAAAUCACCUGUUGGCUAAUCAUUAAUUUCUAAUGUUAAGUGUUUCUUUAAAACACAAAUAUAGUCCUAUAACUAUAUUAUAUAUACUCCUCUCUAUAACCAUUAUCCCAUCUUAGUAAUGCUGUUUGGGAUGGUGACCAAGUUCUGCAGCGGUCAUGCCCCUCAUUUCCCAAUGAAGAAAAUUCUGCAGCUGCUCUGGAAGACCAUCCUGUUGAGAAUAAUGUUUAUAUGUCUGUAUAUGGCGAGAGUCUCAACCCUCCUUCUGGUGAGCUACUGUCUUGAAGAGUUUUGCUCCAACCCCAAUUAAACACAGCUGAAGCAGCUAAUCAAACUGUUCAGGGUUGCUUAAUAAUAACAGACAGGCGUGUUGGAGCUGAGUUGGAACUGCAGGAUGGUAGCUAACCAGGAACACCUGUUUACUCUUGGAGAAUUCGAGCAGUUGUAGAGCAGUAUGGUCAGUAAACUGCAGUACUGGGUUUGUCACCCCUGCCUGAGGACACCAACCAUGUGGUGAGAAGUAUGAGAGCGGCAUCUCCACCGGCAUCUGCCUCCGAUGUCAUCAAACAACAGCAGAGACGUGCCAGGAGAGAACACAAGAUUACAGGACUCUAGAAGGUGUGAAGCUGUGAUCAUCUUGCAGAAGUGCUUCUUCAUCCAUUGCCUGGUAGCAGUUUGGUACCAGUUUCAGCAGAUGGCGCUCACCUUUCCAAUCUCACGGCUCUUGGCUCUUAGCUUGUUGACCUGAGACUCUGCAAUAUCAGCGCGUUCCUGUGACUCCUCCAUCUCAUGCUGCACCUUCCUGUAUCU